rnacentral:lncRNA from 1 species
ACAAAUUCAGUUUAUGAUAGAGGGGCAAUAUCAUUAGUUCAUCACAGUUCUGCUUGUCGGGGUAAGUUCCCUUAUUUGUUGCCCCAUUUCUAGGUGCAUUUCAUGAUUUGUACUUUGCUUAUGCGAUUAUCCAGUUAGGAGGUUCUGUGAGUGAUAUCCGUGUCUAUCAUUCGUGUUUAGCUGUUGCCAAGAGUUAUGAGGCUACUAGUUAAUUCAUGUUGUCUGUUUCGGUAGGUAUGAUAUGAUCUCUGAGUAUUCUUGGUUAUGAUCUAUGAUUUCUAGCCCCCAGUGGUGUGAGAUCCAAUCUGUGUGGUAAUUCUUAACUG